rnacentral:rRNA from 1 species
AUGAAGACCCGGGUGUGGGGGAGCCACACCGCGGCAACCACGUCCCCUGUGACGCUGGUCAAGCCCGUGCAAGUUGGCACGACAAUCGCAGCCCCGACAUCCUCGGGACCCGAAAAGACCGUGCAAGUUGGCACGGCAAAGGCGCCCCCGACAUCCUCGGGACCCGACAAGCCCGUGUCAGGAGGCACGACAACGACGCAUCUGGUGGGCCACAUCCCGACCAUGAUGCAGGCGGACAAUGAGCCCGUGCGAGAGGCACGGCAGUCUCAGGUCGGCCACACCCCGAAAACCAUGUUCUCGGGCUUCUGCAAGCCCGUGUGGGCGACACAGCACUCUUCGACAGGCCUCAACUCGGGGGUGAUGAAGAGACGGUCAUGGGGCGGCCAGGCCUCGACCGUGACUCUGGCGACCAUCGAGGCCGCGCAGGUGGCGCGGAGCUCUCUGGCCGGCCACGCCGCAACCCCGACACACUCGGGGUCCAUCGAGUUCGUGCGGGAGGCACGACACUCUCUGGUCGGGCACGCCCCGACCACGCUGAUGGCGACCGUCGAGACCAUGCAGGAGCCACGGUGUUCUAUGGUCGUCCACGUUGCAACCCCGACACGCUCAGGGUCCAUCGAGUCCAUGCGGGAGGCAUGA